rnacentral:rRNA from 1 species
AAAUGGGAGGUAAAUUUCUUCUAAAGCUAAAUACUGGCCAGAGACCGAUAGCGCACAAGUAGAGUGAUCGAAAGAUGAAAAGCACUUUGGAAAGAGAGUUAAAAAGUACGUGAAAUUGUUGAAAGGGAAGCGCUUGCAACCAGACUUGUCCGCAGUUGCUCAGCCGGUCUCCUGUCCGGCGUACUCUUCUGCGGCCAGGCCAGCAUCAGUUCGGGCGGUCGGAUAAAGGCCUCGGGAAUGUAGCUCCUCUCGGGGAGUGUUAUAGCCCGGGGUGGAAUGCGACCAGCCUGGACUGAGGAUCUCGCUUCGGCAAGGAUGCUGGCGU